UGUGCGGCGACAUCUGAGGUGUAGUAUAGGUGGAAGCGCAAGCACAAAUGAAAUACCACCACUUGGAACGUUGCUUCACUUAUCGAAUGAAGAGACCAAUGGGUUUCGCGUAGUCUGUGGGCUAUGCACCGUCUAGGUUUGGGAUCUUUUAUGGCGGCGACCCCGUCUCCACGGGGAGGUUGUGU
rnacentral:rRNA from 1 species